rnacentral:lncRNA from 1 species
GUUCAUGCAGGGACCAAUAGGAUACUCGAGAGGGGGCAUUCAUGGCCGAGGGAAGGGGGGGGUAUCUUGUAAACAGAAGUAAAUACAAUGGCUCUCUAGGUGCAGUUGACCACACAUGUAAAGGUAGAUUUAGUAGGUAGCAGUUUAUGCUAGCUACAUUGUCUGUUUAAAUAGCAUUUAUACAAGGCCGAAACAUUGUUUCCUUACCGAAAAAUAUUUAGAAUGCCAGUUUCAGUGAGAAGCAUAGCAACAUCGAGGUAACUUUGUAAUGGGUCACCCCACUUUUGUCACGAUUCUCUAAAGCUGAACCCAGAAGCAGACCAGGACAAGGUGAGUAAAAUGAAGGUGAGUAUUUAUUUACAGUCUCGAGGUGAAAAUAGAAUAAUCCAGGAGACGGAGCGGCAGCGGAGGUGAGUUGAUGAGAGUGAAUAGGCAGAUCCAAUGAAGUCACUGAAACCACCGACGGCCAGGCAAGGCAAGGGAGUUGGAUGUUCCGGGAGGAUGACUGUAGACAGAGUAAACGGGGGGAAUGGAUGUCAGGUUAGAGCUUAUGAAGAGAAGAGGUGAUGAUCAGGACCAGGUGUGCUGAUGAGAUGCAGGUGCGGGUAAUUAAGAGAUCUCCCGCCUAGCUUCGUCGCCUGGCAACCAGACAGGUGCAUGCAUUCAACACGCUUUGGACAAAGGACUUCCACAGGGCCGGCAUCUCCAAAGUUCACUCAAAAAGGCAAUAGUUCUGAACUGGGAUUGAUGAUGUUUUUCUUGUUUUAAUUAUUUAACUGUUUUUCAUUCUCUUUUAAACUUCUAUUAGUUGAAUGCUUGUUGCUUAGUUAUCACAUGGCUCAAGUAAAUUCGGCAGUUGCCUCAUUAAACAUAGUAAGGUUAACAUCCCUAUAGUGUUCACAUUUCUCGCAUGUAAAUGUUGUAAGAAGAUACAAAUAUAUAAUAAAC